rnacentral:tRNA from 1 species
GCCAGUGUGGUGUAGUGGUUAAGAGCGGUAGACUCGUAAUCUGGUGAACCGGGUUCACUUCCCGGCUCCUCCACAUGCA